UCCCGUCUGGCUCAGUUGGUAGAGCAUGGUGUUUGCAACGCCAGGGUUGUGGGUUCGAUUCCCACGGGGGAC
rnacentral:tRNA from 1 species